CUGUGAUGUAAUUGUUAACGGUCCGUUUCCCGGGCUGAGCCAGGGAGGGCGGGGAGUUUAGGCUGUGCCGACCCCUGAGCCCCCCUUCAGGAACCGUUCAGAGCCCGGACAGGUCGCGAUUGAGGAGAUACGAGGUGGCGCUGGAAGCGGAGGAGGAACCUUCUUGACAUAAAGGCAUGUCAGCUUCUGGCAGUACCCCAUUCUAUUUCAAAGAAGAUGAUGAGCAUCAAGAAUCUCCAACCGGAGUUUGCCUCAAUGUGGCAAGCUGCCACAGGGCAGAGAGUUGCCCAUAAUUCAACUACAGACAUAAUGCUGUUCAGAAAGGACAAACAGGCUCAGGGACAUCUGCCAAGCUCUGCCAAGAGAGGCCAGGAGACUUUCCCGAGAAGAAGCUGAGAAGCCAUGGGAGCUGCUCUCUAUCAUGAAAAGCCAAAGCUGGGUCCCCAAGCAGGGAAAUGUGCGGCAGCUCCUGUGUUUAGAUCCCAGCUGCCAAAUCUGUGAGGCUGCGACUGAAGAGAUUCAGCAGUUAGUGCAGAGUGAGAAAAGUCAGCUCUCCCCUGCUUUUUUGGGACUGAACCAGGGUUCUGCUCACUCUGCACACCUGGAGACGUUACCCAUGUCUUUUGAACAGAAUAUGGAGCUCUGUUCCAGGCACACCAGACCUCAUCCACGGGUGCCUGGAAACCAAACACUAACACAACUAACGGGACACUUAACACAGUUGACCAACACAUUCGGGGUUCAAGAAUGCUGGACUGAUCGUCUCCAGCUAGACCAAAAUUUUCAUCUCGCCAACAUGCCCAUGGUCUCAGAGACUGUGACUUCUUCAAGGCUCAAGGAACCUAUGGUUUUAAUGAUUGAGGAAACAAUAGUGCAAAGCAAAGCAAAGCUUGACCAGGAAAGCCAAGACCUUCAUCACGUGAAGCCCUCUGUGUCUUUACUACCCCUGGACCCAAGCUUGACACAUACUAUGUCCUUACAUAUGGACUCAAUGCUGUCUUCCCAUCUGCCAUUACUUAGUCCUAAAGUCCGUGGGCUUCUUGAACUACAGGUAAAAAAAUGCAUACAUUUCCAGAAGUGGGGUCUUCCGAGACGUGUGGAGGAGUCCCUGAGGUAGCUCAUGCCAGACCCAACAUUAUUUCGUCGAUCUCGAGAAAAUCCAUCUUCCUGCACUCUGAGCAGCAGUUCUAAGGUCAUUGAGGACAGAACUGGGAUCGUUUCCCACAAGACCAGCAGCUUGUAUUCGGCAGGCCAGCCCGUCCAGACCUUCUGGGUUUCCAAACGGCCUGUUAUAAACCUGCAACAAGGAAGGCCCUGGCACCAAAUUCAUACUUGCUUGCCCUCUCAUGAAGGUGAACAUCUAAGGAAUUUCUAUCCACUCCCCAGGGCAAAAGCUAAUGACUCAGGGGACAAUCUUCAGAGUGAAUAUUAUAGCCACUUAUUCUGUGGCCUUCCAUCUCUUCACAGUGAGUCCUUGGAUGUUACUUACUUGAGUUCUCAAGGUACCUGCAAGAAAAAGGAUAUGUCCAAGCCCUCCACAGAUACUCAGCCCUCAGGGGUACUCUCGGGCCUUUUCUUACCCAAAACACCAUGUAAGUCAGCCUAUCCCUCUUCCCCGACCUCUCUGAAUGGCAAGACUCCCUGUGAGCGUGAAGGAGCACAGAUUACUGUCCCGUUCCUGUCGCUGGCUGAGUGUGAAGCACUGGAACGCCACCUCCUAAAGAAACAACUCAGCAAGCUUCAGUGGGGCCUGCCAACACUCCUCCUCCAAAACCAGCGCCGAAUGCUGUGUGAAGCACCCAGUGAGGCUAAGACAGUAAAAACUUCCUUGGCAAGGAAGCCCUUUUUACAUCCCACCAGGGACAUCUUCCCAGAGCACACAGUUAGGCUGCUGGAAUUCCACCUGCAGAAGCAGCUGAUUCACCUCCGCUGGGGGCUGCCCCAGAGGAUCCAGCGCUCCAUGAAUAUGCUGCUCUCCUCAACAGACCCGCAGUCCCUGCCCUGUGGCAGCAGUAGCUUACCCAAUGUGAGCAUCUCACAGCCCGGGAAACCAGAGGCCAAUGGGCCUGGUGACAUGUUCUCACUCACAGCGGGCAAAGGGACAAUCCCCAUGCCACACUUGUUUGCCAAGACAAGGGAAAUGUUGAAAAGCCAUGUUGAUUCCAAAUGUGAACAGAUCCAGGAGGGCAAGGUCCCGGCCCAAGUCUGGAAAUCUUGGGAAUGCAAAAUUCCUGGAAGCUUAGCAACAGUGGCUCCCUUCCCUUGGAUUCCACAAGGCCAAUGCAGGAAGUUACAGGCAGAAAGUAAAAGUGACCCUGACUUACUUCACAAAGUUGUUCCCUGGAAACCAAAGACCCUCAGCCAGGAGACACAAACCUUAUCUGGUACUCUCUUUGAACACUGUAAGAAGCCCCAAUCCCUGCCUAAGGAAACCAUUAAGAAACUGGAGACAACUUUACAUCAUAAGUAUCUGGCCUUCCUGUCAGGCCUGCCUGCCCUUUACUGUGUAGCUCUCUCUAGGCCUGCAUCCCCAGCAGUCACUAGCCAACCUAGACUCAGAGAGAAGAUGCCCAAAGCUGUCAAAAGCCCAUCAAAUGCUCUGACUCAAAUAACCCCACUUGAGCCCUGCACUCAGGAUGACAGUGGGGUGUCUGCGGACACUGCAGAAGAGUUCCAGCCUGGAGCAGAGGCAGACAGAAGGACAGAGAAGGUGCCUGCAGAGAGUCAGCCUCCCCCAUGCAGACCCUACCCAAUAAACACACAUAUCUUGGCCAAACUGAAUUUCCACCUGAAAAAAAAAGAUCCUAGCAAUGCAGUUUGGGAUUUCUGAAAAGGAAAAGAGAGAAUACAAGGAGCUGGGUACAGCCGACCUAGAGAGCGAAUCCAUCCAGGAAUUUCUCAGAAGUCUACACAUGUCAGAGAGCACACUGCUUCAGGAACAGCCUGUCGCAUGCCCAUCUCUGCCAGCCCCAAAUGCAAAAGGGGUCCACCCUAAAAAACAGCCAGCUUCUGCAGUACAGGAUGUGUGUCAGGCGCAAAGGCCUCCUCCUUCCAAAGCAGUGCCCCAUAGUUCUGCCCAGCAGAGCUCCAAGGCCUCGCAAUCCCAAAGGGAUAAGACCCAAGUCUGUGUUGACAUGGAAGCUGGAGGGAAAAGGUUCAACCUAGAGAAAUCCAAAGUCGUGGGGGACCUUGGAGAAGGGGACGCAGGUCUUGGGUUUUCCCUGGUCAGUCAAAAGACACGCCAGGAUGGAGAGCAGGAGAAGAGGCUCCUGCACAGACCACUCCAGGGCUCCUCACAACAGGGUCACACCUUUCAUCUUGAGGAUGCCUGUCCACACAGUCCCCGGGAGUCCCCUGAGCUCCAGUUCCCAGACCCACCUCCAGAAGUCUUCAUGGAGACAGACUCUGAGCAGGACAUGUGUUAUUAGACGCGUUCUCACGCCCGGCCAGGAAGAACACCACAGACCAGAAUCUUCUGCGGCAAAGCUUUAUUGCUUACAUCUUCAGGAGCCAGAGUGUAAGAAGCAAGAGCGAGCGAGAAGCAAGAGAGAGAGAAAAGCAAGAGAGAGAGAAAACGAAACCCCGUCCCUCUUAAGGAGCAUUCUCCUUCGCCUCGGACGUGUCACUCCCUGAUUGGCUGCAGCCCAUCGGCCGAGUUGACGUCACGGGGAAGGCAGAGCACAAGUAGUCAUAAGAUACCCUUGGCACAUGCGCAGAUUAUUUCUUUACCACUUAGAACACAGCUGUCAGCGCCAUCUUGUAACGGCGAAUGUGGGCGCGGCUCCCAACAUCUCCCCCUAUCCUUUUAAUAAGAGCAAAUAGGCCACCCAUAUUAAUGAGAGUGGAGAUAGAGGUCAAAUCCCCAGUGUGUAGGUAAAGGAGCCAUGUACAGGAUUAGCUCUUAGGCUCACAGGCUUUUACCCAGAGCAACCCUGACCUGCUCCCGUGUCGUUUUGCCUGGGGGAAGGGAACUAGGACACUGAACCUUCAUGAAAGAUGACAUGUCUCCCUAGAAUAGGCUCAUAUAUGCCGCAGAGCCUUUCCAUUGCAGUGUUUAGCCUUGCAACUCUCUCGGGCUGCUGAAGCACACUCACUGUAUCCCGUGCAAUGAGUCUAGCCUCAUGGGAUAUAAGAGCUGAGUGGCCAGCGACCUAUUGCCUAAGCAUAGAUAACCAUAUAUCAGGGGGAGCUCCAUGUUCUAGUCCUGCAAGCGCCUGGGCAAUAACCACCUUGUCUCUCCUAGUUUGGGCCUUAAGCUUACAGACCAAUCAAAGAAGGAACACUAAUCCACAGCAAAGUGUAUCUCCAAAUAAUAUUAAUCCCACCCAUUUUUUAAAGAAAGAAAAUGCUGAGGAGAUCCAAUUGGGUAAUCCUUUGGUCAGCGACAGGUCCAAGCGCGUGGAGUUGACCUGAAGUCUCAAUUCCCGAAGGAUCUGUUCAAAUUCAGCCAUCCAAUUCUGUAACAUAUACUGAAAAAGACUUUUUGACAAAUUAGCUGUCCUAGUAAAUUUAACAUACUGAAUGGAAAUAACACACAAUCCCGGAAACUUU